UGUCGGAGCAGAGCAGCCCGGUACCUCGCCGGCCUCAUAAGCUGGAGGCCUCAGGUUCAAAUCCUGCCUCCGCAACCA
rnacentral:tRNA from 1 species